rnacentral:rRNA from 1 species
UACGGAGGAUGCAAGCGUUAUCCGGAAUGAUUGGGCGUAAAGCGUCCGCAGGUGGCUGUGUAAGUCUGCUGUCAAAGAGCGAAGCUCAACUUCGUAAAGGCAGUGGAAACUACACGGCUAGAGUGCGUUCGGGGCAGAGGGAAUUCCUGGUGUAGCGGUGAAAUGCGUAGAGAUCAGGAAGAACACCGGUGGCGAAGGCGCUCUGCUAGGCCGCAACUGACACUGAGGGACGAAAGCUAGGGGAGCGAAUGGGAUUAGAAAACCC